rnacentral:lncRNA from 1 species
UUCAUUGCUUUCUUGUCAUCAUUUCAAAUCCUUAUCAUUGUCAUGUUUCUCGAAUAAACUUAGAACCCUCAUGUGUAUUGUUUAUUACCAAGAGAACAUAAUAUUUGUCAUGCCAAGAAUAUGGAAAUGAUGAACCUAAAUGGUACCUUCUGUUAAGACAUGGCUGUAUAUCCUCGUCUACACAUCUAAUCUGAGUUUUUAGGAUAUCAUUUUUAAA